GACGAACGCUGGCGGCGUGCUUAACACAUGCAAGUCGAACGGAAAGGCCUGCUUUCCCUUGUGGAUUGCGGGUACUCGAGUGGCGAACGGGUGAGUAACACGUGAGUGAUCUGCCCCCAACUUGGGUAUAAGCCUGGGAAACUGGGUCUAAUUCCCGAUAGGACUGCAGGGUGGUGCCUGUGGUGGAAAACGAUUUUCUAGUGGUUGGGGAUGAGCUCGCGGCCUAUCAGCUUGUUGGUGGGGUAAUGGCCUACCAAGGCGGCGACGGGUAGCCGGCCUGGGAGGGUGGACGGCCAGAUUGGGACUGAGAUACGGCCCAGACUCCUACGGGAGGCAGCAGUGGGGAAUAUUGCACAAUGGGCGGAAGCCUGAUGCAGCGACGCCGCGUGGGGGAUGACGGCCUUCGGGUUGUAAACUCCUUUCGACCGCGAGGAAGCCACCUGGUUGGAAGGGUGGUGACGGUAGUGGUAGAAGAAGCACCGGCUAACUACGU
rnacentral:rRNA from 1 species